CUUGGAGGCAACUUGACCAAAAGUAAAACGCACCACCCAGAAUGCAAAGUAUUUUUCUUGUGCCUUGAAAACAGAGGCCAUGUGGUGGCCUGUUACAUAUCCUGUCAUACCCUCAUGGGGGCAGCCAGAGUUUAAGUAGAAACUGUCACAAGGCCGGUUGUGACUGGAGUGGUGUGGCAAUGACAGGUCUUUGGUUAGGCUGCUCCGCUGCUCCACACCUCCAUUUCCUCUCUGAAAAUGGGGGUAGUGUGGAGGGUGGACCAGAUGGUCUCCCCUGGCCUAAAGACAGACCAGGUUGUCAGUGACAGGCAGAGGUCAUGUGACUUGACAGGCUGAGGUCGUGUUGUGACAUGUUGACCUGGGGAGGCGGGUCAAGUCCCAGCACACUACCCGGGAAGCCUUUGGGGCGGGGCAGGGCAAGUCGCGACUUUCAUCUUUCGGGGCCUGGCCCCUCCCGGACCUGGCAUUCCUGGUUCCCGCAACAGACUGUGGCUUUGGAAGGGGCCCCUCCCUGAGGAGGGCUGGGAUUGGCCACCAGUGGCCUGGGAAGAGGCGCAGAUCCUUCCGCGGAGGGCGG
rnacentral:lncRNA from 10 species